ACGCUCGACACCUACGGGAGCAGCAGUGGGGAAUAUUGCACAAUGGGGGAAACCCUGAUGCAGCGACGCCGCGUGAGCGAAGAAGUAUUUCGGUAUGUAAAGCUCUAUCAGCAGGGAAGAAAAUGACGGUACCUGACUAAGAAGCCCCGGCUAACUACGUGCCAGCACGCCGGCGGUAAUCUGACGGCCGGGUCGUCGGACGAAGGC
rnacentral:rRNA from 1 species